rnacentral:pre_miRNA from 1 species
CUGCAGGGUUAAAACUGAUGAGUCAGGCUACUGGUUAUAUUCCAGGGCUUAUCCAGUUCUGAGUAUAACCAAAGCCUGGCUGAAUGGUGUUAAAU